rnacentral:rRNA from 1 species
ACGGGUGAGUAACGCGUGGGAAUCUACCCUGAACUGCGGAAUAGCUCCGGGAAACUGGAAUUAAUACCGCAUGUGCCCUGAGGGGCAAAGAUUUAUCGGUUCAGGAUGAGCCCGCGUCCGACUAGCUAGUUGGUGGGGUAAAGGCCUACCAAGGCGACGAUCGGUAGCUGGUCUAAGAGGAUGAUCAGCCACAUUGGGACUGAGACACGGCCCAAACUCCUACGGGAGGCAGCAGUGGGGAAUAUUGGACAAUGGGCGCAAGCCUGAUCCAGCCAUGCCGCGUGAGUGAUGAAGGCCCUAGGGUUGCAAAGCUCUUUCAGUGGGGACGAUAAUGACGGUACCCACAGAAGAAGCCCCGGCUAACUUCGUGCCAGCGGCCGCGGUAAUACGAAGGGGGCUAGCGUUGUUCGGAAUUACUGGGCGUAAAGCGCACGUAGGCGGACAUUUAAGUCAGGGGUGAAAUCCCGGGGCUCAACCCCGGAACUGCCUUUGAUACUGGGUGUCUUGAGUCCGGAAGAGGUGAGUGGAAUUGCGAGUGUAGAGGUGAAAUUCGUAGA